GACGAACGCUGGCGGCAUGCCUAACACAUGCAAGUUGAACGAGACCUUCGGGUCUUUUGUCGCACGGGUGCGUAACGCGUGGGAACCUGCCCUUAGGUUCGGAAUACCUCCCCGAAAGGGGUGCUAAUACCGGAUAAUGUCUUCGGACCAAAGAUUUAUUGCCUUUGGUUGGUCCCGGGUUGGAUUAGCUAUUUGGUAGGGUAAAAGCCGACCAAGGGGACGAUCAGUAGCUGGUCUGAGAGGAUGAUCAGCCACACUGGGACUGAGACACGGCCCAGACUCCUACGGGAGGCAGCAGUGGGGAAUAUUGGACAAUGGGCGAAAGCCUGAUCCAGCAAUGCCGCGUGAGUGAUGAAGGCCUUAGGGUUGUAAAGCUCUUUUACCCGGGAUGAUAAUGACAGUACCGGGAUAAUAAGCUCCGGCUAACUCCGUG
rnacentral:rRNA from 1 species